CUGGCAGAAUAAACAGGUGUUUUUAAGUUUUCCCACCGUCUGAGCCAAGCAGGACCCUGUCCCCGAGCAAGAGAUGUCCCAUCCAUCCCUGACCCCCUGCCUGGGACAAGCCUUGUUGGGGGCCCCCAGCUUCAGGGCUGUGGUGGGAACAGCACCCGCAAAUGCCAGCCUCUCCUUUCUUCCCAUCCACCAGUUCACUACAAGGCCAUUUCUGGUCUUUAUGCAACAGGAAGCCCAUUUCUGGUGGGAUGUGCCUUCCAGUGCCACAGGGCCACUGACCCCACGCAUCUCUGUCCUGUCCAUCAGUGCUGGGAUGGACAGCAAGGGCGAGCCCAGUGUCUGGCAGAUAGGUGGGUGGGAACGGAGAGGGGAGAAUGCCAUCCUAAGCCUGUGUUUGGGGAGCCCCCACACGGCCUGGGUACUGCCUGGGAAACCUGUCCUAAGUAAAACAUGGGCCUCGCCUCGCCCACCGGCCUGCGAAGCCAGCGUCUCCGUGAAGGUGGAUGAAAGCACCUUUGUCCUCAUUUUGAGCUGCAAGCUGGCCACCGCGCCCGGCUGCCCUCAAGUGACUCUCUAACCCAAGACCCAGCCCCUAACAGGAGGAAGGUGGGUGCAGGGCUGGUGGGACAAAAAGAGGCCUCAGCAGGCCUGACAGACCCUUCCAGUGCGUCCCAAAGCGUGUCAAGCAGCUAGGAGGACCUGUGUCAAGCUCAAGCCAUUGUAGGUCCCCAUGAGGUAUCUGAAGCCCCUUCUUGGUGACGGGAGGCGGAGGUGCUGACAUUCUGGGGAAUGGACCUGAGUCCUCGGCUGGCUCCGCGCAGGCCCCUGAAGGGGGUGAGGUGUGUGGUGACCUUCUGGAUGCCUGUAACUUCAUGGCUGCAUCAUUCCUGAUUCAGAACUUUAGCCGGAGCUUCAUCUAGUGAUUGCAGAACCGGACCAACGGGAGGACUGCGGCGUGGCCUGGCCCCUCCCUGGAAUGGAGCUCAGCUCUUCGGAGGUGUCAGCACCUGUCGCCUCCGUGGUCCCCCUGCCGAGGGAGUGCGGCCCCCGCGAGGUUCGGGGUGACUUUGUUUGCCGGAGUGGCCGGCCCUGCGUGUGUCCUGCGGAUGUUUGUGAGCCUUGAUUCCCACAGCACUGUGUAGGCUGCGUCUGUUUCGUGCUGGUCGUGUUGAGGCGUGAUGGUUCCCCCCCAUCCCAGGAGCUCCCUACCUGUGAUUGGCUGAACACCCAGUACCCCGCCAGCCACGCUAGGGGUUGCUGCUGGAAAUGGGGGCAGCUGACUCCCUAGAAACCUCCCUGUUGGAGGAAAGAGCAUGCCUUGCCCCUGCCUGCCGGGCCCAGGCCCCCUCUCGUCCUGUGCUCUGUUCUCUGCCUGGGGGGGCUAGCCUGGGUGUCCCGGCAUGGGCUUCCUGCAGGACUUCCCAGGUCAGAGCCCUCGGGGAUAGGAGGCAGGGGCUCCCUUCCCUGCCCUCCCUGCGCGAUUCUGAGGUCCAGCUCCGGGUGUUGGCCAAGGGCGUCUGCUCCUCCUGGGUUCCACCUGGCUCCUUCACACCUGGGUGGUGACAUUGCAGGGCCUCUGGCUUGGCCGAUCUCGUGUUCCCCUGACUCGUGCACCUGUGCAAUAAACCCGCAAACUAAUAUCCAGCAA